rnacentral:rRNA from 1 species
GUAGGUGGCAAGCGUUGUCCGGAAUUAUUGGGCGUAAAGCGCGCGCAGGCGGUUCUUUAAGUCUGAUGUGAAAGCCCCCGGGCUCAACCGGGGAGGGUCAUUGGAAACUGGGGAACUUGAGUGCAGGAGAGGAAAGUGGAAUUCCACGUGUAGCGGUGAAGUGCGUAGAUAUGUGGAGGAACACCAGUGGCGAAGGCGACUUUCUGGCCUGUAACUGACACUGAGGCGCGAAAGCGUGGGGAGCAAACAGGAUUAGAUACCCUGGUAGUCCACGCCGUAAACGAUGAGUGCUAAGUGUUGGGGGGUUUCCGCCCCUCAGUGCUGCAGCUAACGCAUUAAGCACUCCGCCUGGGGAGUACGGUCGCAAAGACUG